rnacentral:rRNA from 1 species
GAUGAACGCUGGCGGCGUGCCUAAUACAUGCAAGUCGAGCGAACAGAUGAGGAGCUUGCUCCUCUGACGUUAGCGGCGGACGGGUGAGUAACACGUGGAUAACCUACCUAUAAGACUGGGAUAACUUCGGGAAACCGGAGCUAAUACCGGAUAAUAUAUUGAACCGCAUGGUUCAAUAGUGAAAGACGGUUUUGCUGGCACUUAUAGAUGGAUCCGCGCCGCAUUAGCUAGUUGGUAAGGUAACGGCUUACCAAGGCAACGAUGCGUAGCCGACCUGAGAGGGUGAUCGGCCACACUGGAACUGAGACACGGUCCAGACUCCUACGGGAGGCAGCAGUAGGGAAUCUUCCGCAAUGGGCGAAAGCCUGACGGAGCAACGCCGCGUGAGUGAUGACGGUCUUCGGAUCGUAAAACUCUGUUAUUAGGGAAGAACAAAUGUGUAAGUAACUAUGCACGUCUUGACGGUACCUAAUCAGAAAGCCACGGCUAACUACGUG